CCUACGGGUGGCAGCAGUGGGGAAUAUUGGUCAAUGGGCGCAAGCCUGACCCAGCAACGCCGCGUGAAGGAAGAAGGCUCUCGGGUUGUAAACUUCUUUUGUCAGGGACGAAGAAAGCGACGGUACCUGACGAAUAAGCCACGGCGAACUACUUGCCAGCAGCCGCUGUAAUACGUAGGGUGCAAGCGUUAUCCGGAUUUAAUGGGUGUAAAGGGGGUGUAGGCGGUGAUGCAAGGCAGAUGUGAAAACUAUGGGCUCAACCCCUGGCCUGCAUUUGCAACUGUGUGUCUUGAGUGAUGGGGAGGCAGGCGGAAUGCGGGGUGUAGCGGUGAAAUGCGUAGAUAUACGGAGGAACACGGGUGGCGAAGGCGGAUUGCUGGACAGCAACUGACGCUGAGGCGCGAAAGCGUGGGGAGCAAACAGGAUUAGAUACCCGAGUAGUC
rnacentral:rRNA from 1 species